UACGUAGGGUGCAAGCGUUACUCGGAAUUACUGGGCGUAAAGCGUGCGCAGGCGGUUUUGUAAGUCUGACGUGAAAUCCCCGGGCUUAACCUGGGAAUUGCGCUGGAGACUGCAAGGCUAGAAUCUGGCAGAGGGGGGUAGAAUUCCACGUGUAGCAGUGAAAUGCGUAGAGAUGUGGAGGAACACCGAUGGCGAAGGCAGCCCCCUGGGUCAAGAUUGACGCUCAUGCACGAAAGCGUGGGGAGCAAACAGG
rnacentral:rRNA from 1 species